ensembl:snoRNA LOC120094925 small nucleolar RNA SNORA17
AAAGCCCCUAGGAGCUUUGUAGGUGUGGCUGCCAUGCCACAUGUGCUUCUGUAGGUGACAGAGAGAAGAGAGGCUGUAACCAAACUCACUGUUCUGGCCUAUGGAAAUCUGAAAGAUAAGCAGCUUACACU